rnacentral:rRNA from 1 species
AGCGUAGGUCGGCCUAACAUGUCAACUGUGAAAACCCGGAGCUCAACUCCGGACUUGCAGUUGAAACUGGUAGGCUUGAGGACGGUAGAGGAAGACGGAACUGCCAGUGUAGGGGUAAAAUCCUUAGAUAUUGGCAGGAACGCCGGUGACGAAGGUGGUUUUCUGGGCCGGUUCUGACACUGAUGCUCGAAAGCCAGGGGAGCGAACG